rnacentral:rRNA from 1 species
UUAAAAAGCUCGUAGUUGAACCUUGGGCCUGGCUGGCCGGUCCGCCUCACCGCGUGCACUGGUUCGGCCGGGCCUUUCCCUCUGGGGAACCUCAUGCCCUUCACUGGGUGUGAUGGGGAACCAGGACUUUUACUGUGAAAAAAUUAGAGUGUUCAAAGCAGGCCUAUGCUCGAAUACAUUAGCAUGGAAUAAUAGAAUAGGACGUGUGGUUCUAUUUUCUUGGUUUCUAGGACCGCCGUAAUGAUUAAUAGGGACAGUCGGGGG